GUAGCAGUCUCGAAAGGGUUAAGGAGAGCCCUAAUCAGCUGCUGCCGUUGCAAUCAGCUACAUCAGCCUCAGCUGCUCCAACUGGCUGCAUGGAGGCUGCUGGGUGUUCUUGGGGGACUAUUGCCCUGCUGCUGAGAAGGGAAGCUGAGCUCUGUUCGGUAUCGUGGUACAACUCCCCUGUCUGGCUGCCGGGACUGAAAGGAAAGCUGGUUUUGGAGGAGGCUCCAGAGAGGGUUAAUCUGUUUUGGAGAGAUGCAGCAUAGUCUGUGGUCACUAUAAGGAAGUGAAGUAAUAAGUUGUCUUGGAGUCGCUGGUGAUUGCGCAGGUCAAGGUAGUGCCAGGCCCAGAUGCCCAUCACGCAAUUCUCCUGGACCUGUCACUUCAACUUGUGUGACUCCUGGGGGCCAGAAGAGCCCUUCUGCACGAG